AGCUCACAUUCAUGGUCCGAGGGCAGGUUCACCUGGAAUUGAGAGUUCCCAUCGCUGGCUGAGUCCUCACUGCCAAAAGUCCCAACUCACCAACCAAAUCUGGAUUCAUAACCAAGUGUUCUGAGUCACCGUGCUGCUCAGGAGCAUGAAGGGCUGGAGGAGGGGGUGGCAGCAGCUCGGUGGUCCCCGUCAGCCCCCACGCACCCCAAGCUGUGCCCCACACCUUCAGCACAGGACGUUCUCCGUUGGGAUUACAGCCCACUCCAGAACUCCGAGAUUCAAUCUGUGUGUGCAAUCUGCAUCUCUGAAAGGAGCCUGGAGCCAUCCUGCAGGAGCACCCAGGAGUCUCCAUCACCUUUUGCUGGGAGCUACAGAAAUGCAGCGUGAAAAUGCAGCUGUGGUGGCAGAGCUGAGAACUUCACGUGGAGGCACGAGCCGGCAGAUGGGAGGAUCUGGUGGGCUGAGGAGCACGGCGAAGCAGCGAGACAGCAGUGCCUGCCACAGCAGGCAAGAGCAGUCCAACCUGGGGGGGUUGCUGGAAAAGAGGAGAUUUCAGGAAGGAUUCGGGAGAAAAGGCAGAGAUUGUUGCUGUAGUGCUGGAACUCAAAAUGUCCCUCAGACAUUUUUAGAGGUUCCAGGCCUUGGUCAGAAGCAUUUGAGACCCUGACAGGCAGCUGCAAACAGCUGGGAUUUUGGGUUUGAGCCAUGGGAUGAGUUACCAACUUUGGAGGUGGAACAAGCACUCACAAAGGGUUAGAUAGGAUAGUAAAAGUAGUUACAAAACAGAGGGGAAAUUUUUUAGUAUUGUACAGGGGGGUUUUAGCACCUGUCCAGGGGGGUUUUUACUUUGUACAUGGGGGUCAGAAGUUCUAAGAUGGAGGAAAGUGGGCUGAUCCUGUUCUUCCUCCCUCUUCUUCCUCACCUCCACGUUCUUGGUGAUGUUGGCACUCACAGAUUGGUUUAGAGUAGAAAAGCACUUUGUAAUAUAGGCAGUAGGUAUUGGGGGAAAACUAUAAACAUGUAAUAUGUAAUAUAUCAUAUAAAAGAGAACAGCAGCCCUGGGCAGGGGAGAGGAGGAGGAGAAGGAGGAGGAGAAGAAGAAGAAGAAGAAGAAGAAGAAGAAAAAUAAGAAGAAAGAAGAAGAAGAAGAAGACAGCAGACAGAGAGGAUGUCAGGGUGUGUGUGUGCCUCUGCCUGAGCUGUGAGCAAACCACAGCAGCCCCAGAAGAAAAUCUUUUAGAUAACUCACAAUAAACUGCCUUGAGGCUGAAUGACA
rnacentral:lncRNA from 1 species